GAUGAACGCUGGCGGCGUGCCUAAUACAUGCCAGUCGAGCGAACAGACGAGGAGCUUGCUCCUCUGACGUUAGCGGCGGACGGGUGAGUAACACGUGGAUAACCUACCUAUAAGACUGGGAUAACUUCGGGAAACCGGAGCUAAUACCGGAUAAUAUAUUGAACCGCAUGGUUCAAUAGUGAAAGACGGUUUUGCUGUCACUUAUAGAUGGAUCCGCGCCGCGUUAGCUAGUUGGUAAGGUAACGGCUUACCAAGGCAACGAUGCGUAGCCGACCUGAGAGGGUGAUCGGCCACACUGGAACUGAGACACGGUCCAGACUCCUACGGGAGGCAGCAGUAGGGAAUCUUCCGCAAUGGGCGAAAGCUUGACGGAGCAACGCCGCGUGAGUGAUGAAGGUCUUCGGAUCGUAAAACUCUGUUAUUAGGGAAGAACAAAUGUGUAAGUAACUAUGCACGUCUUGACGGUACCUAAUCAGAAAGCCACGGCUAACUACGUG
rnacentral:rRNA from 1 species